UACGGGAGGCAGCAGUAGGGAAUCUUCCGCAAUGGACGAAAGUCUGACGGAGCAACGCCGCGUGAGUGAUGAAGGUUUUCGGAUCGUAAAACUCUGUUGUUAGGGAAGAACAAGUACCGUUCGAAUAGGGCGGUACCUUGACGGUACCUAACCAGAAAGCCACGGCUAACUACGUGCCAGCAGCCGCGGUAAUACGUAGGUGGCAAGCGUUGUCCGGAAUUAUUGGGCGUAAAGCGCGCGCAGGCGGUUUCUUAAGUCUGAUGUGAAAGCCCCCGGGCUCAACCGGGGAGGGUCAUUGGAAACUGGGGAACUUGAGUGCAGAAGAGGGGAGUGAAUUCCACGUGUAGCGGUGAAAUGCGUAGAGAUGUGGAGGAACACCAGUGGCGAAGGGCGACUCUCUGGUCUGUAACUGACGCUGAGGCGCGAAAGCGUGGGGAGCGAACAGGAUUAGAUACCCUGGUAGUCCACGCCGUAAACGAUGAGUGCUAAGUGUUAGAGGGUUUCCGCCCUUUAGUGCUGCAGCAAACGCAUUAAGCACUCCGCCUGGGGAGUACGGUCGCAAGACUGAAACUCAAAGGAAUUGACGGGGGCCCGCACAAGCGGUGGAGCAUGUGGUUUAAUUCGAAGCAACGCGAAGAACCUUACCAGGUCUUGACAUCCUCUGACAACCCUAGAGAUAGGGCUUCCCCUUCGGGGGCAGAGUGACAGGUGGUGCAUGGUUGUCGUCAGCUCGUGUCGUGAGAUGUUGGGUUAAGUCCCGCAACGAGCGCAACCCUUGAUCUUAGUUGCCAGCAUUCAGUUGGGCACUCUAAGGUGACUGCCGGUGACAAACCGGAGGAAGGUGGGGAUGACGUCAAAUCAUCAUGCCCCUUAUGACCUGGGCUACACACGUGCUACAAUGGGCAGAACAAAGGGCAGCGAAGCCGCGAGGCUAAGCCAAUCCCACAAAUCUGUUCUCAGUUCGGAUCGCAGUCUGCAACUCGACUGCGUGAAGCUGGAAUCGCUAGUAAUCGCGGA
rnacentral:rRNA from 1 species